GCGAUCCGCCACCGCCCGCCACUGCCGCGCUCACUCGGUCAUUCCCACACUGCUACUGUGCGCCACAAGCCAUGGGGCACACGAUCCGCCGCCGCCCACCACCACCACCACAUGAUCCGCCGCCGCCCGCCACUGCCGCGCUCACUCGGUCACUCCCACGCUGCCACUGUGCGCCACAAGCCAUGGGGCACACGAUCCGCCGCCGCCCGCCACCGCCACGCGAUCCGCCGCCGCCCGCCACCGCCGCGGAGUCCAGCCAGGGCGCAGAGUUAAUAAAACUACGCCUUGGUGAAUGACUAAUUUCAGGCAUCUCAGGUGAUGAAAUCAGUUGAACCCAGCACAGAUGCUGUCUGCACCUCUAAACAGCUAACACCAUAGAUGCCAGGUGUGGCACUUUCUGUAUGUCCAUCGCACCUCUGGGGAAAAAAAAUUGCUCUUGUGAUCCAUGCAACCCUGUAUGAAUUCAAGGAAGAAAGAUGCAGUUGGGAUCAUUUAAGUAAUGGGAGACACCUGGCAGUAUUCCUCGGGAAUGUGAAGACAAGGCUGGGUUUCUGAAUUAAAGACAACCCAUCCUGAAGUACGGCAGUAUGUAUAUGUUGCUUCUACUAUGAACCAGUGUUUCAUAAUGUUUGCUUUGUUCUGAGAAUUAUUAAUCAAGAACUUGGAGUACAUUGCCAAGGAAUGUUGGCCCUUGGAGUGUGGACUUGGAGAAAUAGGAAAAGGUUAUAUUUGCUUCACUCACUACAUAUAACCAGACUCUCACUGUUGCUUCCACCACUGUCUCCCAUGGUGCACCCACCUCUAUCCUCUAUGUCAUUUUUGUAACCCCAAUGGCUACUUUUUUUUAAAAAAGUUUCUAGGUUGUUCAUCAUCCAAGCACUGAGCAGAACCUGCUUAGCUUCAGCAAGUGCCCUCAAACCAUCAUAUUCAUUGGUGCUUUUCCAUAAAUUGCACCAGUUAAGAAUGAGACUCUUCAGACAAUAUGUUCUACUGAUAUGUGUGCAGCACUGAAUUCCUGCUAAAUAAUAUAAAUAUGUGUGGGAAUCAGGUUAAUAAUGGGACUGGCAGUACUUUUGCUCCUGCCAAAUGCACCUUUCCUGGACUACCUUGUUCUAUUCAAUGUUAAUUGGAAAGGAUGAGACAUGAGAUUUUGUUUUGGCUAAAUCUUUAUUUAUUUAAUUUUAAUUUUAAUUUAAAACAUUUAAACCCUG